CCUACGGGUGGCAGCAGUGAGGAAUAUUGGUCAAUGGGCGGAAGCCUGAACCAGCCAAGUAGCGUGCAGGAUGACGGCCCUACGGGUUGUAAACCGCUUUUAUACGGGAAUAACGCGCCUUACGUGUAGGGCUUUGCAUGUACCGUAUGAAUAAGGGCCGGCUAAUUCCGUGCCAGCAGACGCGGUAAUACGGAAGGUCCGGGCGUUAUCCGGAUUUUUUGGGUUUAAAGGGAGCGUAGGCCGCAUGUCAAGCGUGCUGUGAAAUGUGCGGGCCCAACCCGGGCCUGGCAGCGCGAACUGGCGUGCUUGAGUCCGCGGAAAGCAGGCGGAAGUCGUCGUGUAGCGGUGAAAUGCUUAGAUAUGACGAAGAACCCCGAUUGCGAAGGCAGCUUGCUGCAGCGGAACUGACGCUGAUGCUCGAAAGCGCGGGUAUCGAACAGGAUUAGAUACCCGGGUAGUC
rnacentral:rRNA from 1 species